rnacentral:tRNA from 1 species
CAAAUUAAAACUAAUAUUUAGUAUUUCAUUUACAUUGAAUUUUUAAUUGUAUAAAUCAAUUUAAUUUGA